AGUGAACGCUGGCGGUAGGCCUAACACAUGCAAGUCGAACGGCAGCACAGUAAGAGCUUGCUCUUACGGGUGGCGAGUGGCGGACGGGUGAGGAAUACAUCGGAAUCUACUUUUUCGUGGGGGAUAACGUAGGGAAACUUACGCUAAUACCGCAUACGACCUACGGGUGAAAGCAGGGGAUCUUCGGACCUUGCGCGAUUGAAUGAGCCGAUGUCGGAUUAGCUAGUUGGCGGGGUAAAGGCCCACCAAGGCGACGAUCCGUAGCUGGUCUGAGAGGAUGAUCAGCCACACUGGAACUGAGACACGGUCCAGACUCCUACGGGAGGCAGCAGUGGGGAAUAUUGGACAAUGGGCGCAAGCCUGAUCCAGCCAUACCGCGUGGGUGAAGAAGGCGUUCGGGUUGUAAAGACGUUUUGUUGGGAAAGAAAAGCAGCAGGUUAAGACCCCGCUGUUCUGACGGUACCCAAAGAAUAAGCACCGGCUAACUUCGUG
rnacentral:rRNA from 1 species